GUUAGCGGCGGACGGGUGAGUAACACGUGGGUAACCUGCCCAUAAGACUGGGAUAACUCCGGGAAACCGGGGCUAAUACCGGAUAACAUUUUGAACCGCAUGGUUCGAAAUUGAAAGGCGGCUUCGGCUGUCACUUAUGGAUGGACCCGCGUCGCAUUAGCUAGUUGGUGAGGUAACGGCUCACCAAGGCAACGAUGCGUAGCCGACCUGAGAGGGUGAUCGGCCACACUGGGACUGAGACACGGCCCAGACUCCUACGGGAGGCAGCAGUAGGGAAUCUUCCGCAAUGGACGAAAGUCUGACGGAGCAACGCCGCGUGAGUGAUGAAGGCUUUCGGGUCGUAAAACUCUGUUGUUAGGGAAGAACAAGUGCUAGUUGAAUAAGCUGGCACCUUGACGGUACCUAACCAGAAAGCCACGGCUAACUACGUGCCAGCAGCCGCGGUAAUACGUAGGUGGCAAGCGUUAUCCGGAAUUAUUGGGCGUAAAGCGCGCGCAGGUGGUUUCUUAAGUCUGAUGUGAAAGCCCACGGCUCAACCGUGGAGGGUCAUUGGAAACUGGGAGACUUGAGUGCAGAAGAGGAAAGUGGAAUUCCAUGUGUAGCGGUGAAAUGCGUAGAGAUAUGGAGGAACACCAGUGGC
rnacentral:rRNA from 1 species